AUUAAAACCUGGGGUUUUUAUUCCUGAGCCAAAUUUGUAAACAAGGCAUAGACCCAGACUUCUAAGCUGUCAUGGCAAAGGCUAGAAAAGGGGAAGAAACCAGUGCCAGCUCAAGUGAAGUGUAUGCUGUGAGUGUUGCUCUCAUUUCUAGCAGGGAGGACUUUGACAUUCUAAACCAGCAGCUCAGCCAUGGCCUCCAGAGGCCAAUGCAGCAGAAGCCCUUCAGAGAAAGAGGACCGUGGAAACUUGCCUUGUGUUGGUGGUACCUUCUGGUCAGGGCCCAGCAACAGUGGGACUGCAGGGAAGGGCAGAUUUUCCAAGCAGCAGCUAUGCUGGCAGAGCUACCUGCCAUGCUGUGCAGCCACAUCGGUGCCAAGAGGUUCUGGGAAAAUGUGGGCAGUGACGCCACAGAACAGUAACGACGGAGGUGGAUUCCUGGAAGAAGCCUUCUGAGAGCAGCAGCCCCUGGUGCAGCAUACUGUGGGGUGUACUGCUUUAGGGACAACUGAAAUGUAGAAGGGGUCAGACAGUCACACUGGCACGCUGCAGUGUCCUGUCCACACAACAGGCAGCAACCUUACUGAACCGGUCACGGAAAAUGGGCUGCUUGGCCAGGAGGAAGCAGCUUAGACAUCACAGCUUUCAUUCAGAAUUAGCUGUGAGCUGGCCAGGAGCUGGCCAGGCAUAAAUUGUGUUUAGGGUUUGUCCUGCCAGCUGCGUUACCAACAAGGCAAAAACUGUCCAAGGUUCACACACUUAACCAUACCUGUCAUAAGGUUGCUAAACUUUUCCCUAGGGCUGGUACUACACUAUUUACUGUAUUGGCAUGCUGUCUUUUCUGUUCAACUGCUGCAUGAUUGUACUAUAGCACGUGCUGUUGACAAGGACUAAAGCUCAGAUUGAGCUGUGUAAAGAGGUAACUGUGGCCUUGAUCUCUCCAUGAGGAAACCAAAGUAAAUUACUGGAUGCCGAAUGAGUUACUCCCUGUUUAUUUCAGUUUAAGCAAGCUUAGAAUCUGAUCUUUAGAUCAUAUUAUUUCUCUAAUUCAACUGGUCAUAUUUAUAAAUUCAUGUAAUGGUUAAAAUUAUCCAAUAAAUGCCAGCACACAAUCCUAGCA
rnacentral:lncRNA from 1 species